GACGUAGGAGGCGAGCGUUAUCCGGAUUCACUGGGCGUAAAGCGCAUGUAGGCGGCUGUGCAAGUCGUGUGUUAAAGCCCCUGGCUCAACUGGGGGAGGUCAUGCGAUACUGUGCGGCUGGAGGGCAGUAGAGGCACAUGGAACUCCCGGUGUAGCGGUGGAAUGCGUAGAGAUCGGGAAGAACACCCGUGGCGAAGGCGGUGUGCUGGGCUGCACCUGACGCUGAGAUGCGAAAGUGUGGGGAGCAAACGGG
rnacentral:rRNA from 1 species